rnacentral:rRNA from 1 species
GAUGAACGCUGACAGAAUGCUUAACACAUGCAAGUCAAAUUGUGGCGGUCGGGUGAGUAAAGCGUAAAGAAAUUGCCUCACGGAUAGGGACAACAUUUGGAAACGAAUGAUAAUACCUGAUACUGUGAGAGAGCGUUGCGUCCCAUUAGCUAGUUGGAGAGGUAACGGCUCACCAAGGCGAGGAUGAGUAGCCGGCCUGAGAGGGUGAUCGGGCACAAGGGGACUGGGACACGGCCCUUACUCCUUCGGGGAGCAGGAGUGGGGAAUAUUGGACAAUGGACCAAAGUCUGAUGCAGCAAUUCUGUGUGCACGAUGAAGUUUUCGGAAUGUAAAGUGCUUUCAGUAGGGAAGCGGUACCAGCAGAAUAAGUGACGGCUAAAUACGUGCCAGCAGCCGCGGUAAUAC